AUACUUACCUGGCAGGGGAAAGACCAUGAUCACGAAGGUGAUUUUCCCAGGGAGAGGGUUAUCCAUCGCACUCUGGAUAUGCUGACCCCUGCGAUUUUCUGAAAUGUGGGCAACUCAACUGCAUAAUUUUUGCUAGUGGGGGACUGUGUUUGCACCCUCCCCAG